AGAAGAAGAAGAAGAAGAAGAACAAGUUUCUCACUUCCUGUAAGCAAGCUAGCUGCAAACACGAAAGUUGAGCAUGUGCUCAAUGGAUGUGUCUUCUUGCAAGGGAUUUGAACACGAGAUUAAGGAGUAUUCAAGACAAUUUCUUUCAUAUAGCAUGCAGCCAAUGAGGUCAGGGCAAUCCUGCAGGGUCAGAACUGAAGCCGCGCUGUCAGCAUUUCCUCCAGUUAGAAGGAUGACCACAGGUUCUGGCAGAGGAGUAAGGCCACUUGAUGAAGAUGGAGUCGGGUUCCUGUCUAACACAUCAAUAAGAGCGCUUGCUGCUGAUUCCACUUUUGAUGAUAGAGCCUGUCAAACAAACAUUUUACCUUAAAAACCUUGCAUGAAUUAAUGUUAAAUCAACAAUACUAUGCAUUCUGAUAUAUUAUUUCCCUGUAGUCACUUAGAUAUAAGUUAUGCUUUCUUUACUUUAAAAACUGUUUGCCAUUAUUGCAGCUUCCUGUUGUUAGCCAUUCAGUCUAAUGUAAAAAAAGAAUAAAUUUCUAAUAUAUAUUACUUUGAAUAAAUAAAAGAUAAAACAAAA